AUUGAACGCUGGCGGCACGCCUAACACAUGCAAGUCGAGCGGUAACAUGAUUAGUAGCAAUACUAAUUGAUGACGAGCGGCGGACGGGUGAGGAACACGUAGGAACCUGCCCAAGAGAGGGGGAUAACUAAGGGAAACUUUAGCUAAUACCGCAUAAUUCUCUGAGGAGAAAAGUUGCCCGCAAGGGUAGCGCUUUUGGAGGGGCCUGCGUCCGAUUAGUUAGUUGGUGAGGUAACGGAUCACCAAGACGAUGAUCGGUAACUGGUCGGAGAGGACGACCAGUCACACUGGGACUGAGACACGGCCCAGACUCCUACGGGAGGCAGCAGUGGGGAAUAUUGGACAAUGGGCGCAAGCCUGAUCCAGCAACGCCGUGUGUGUGAAGAAGGCCUUAGGGUUGUAAAGCACUUUUAGUGGGGAAGAAAAGUUCAUGGCUAAUAUCCAUGAAUGCUGACGUUACCCACAGAAAAAGCACUGGCUAACUCUGUGCCAGCCGCCGCCGUAA
rnacentral:rRNA from 1 species